UGACAUAUUAACGAGCACUUCAGAUAUGCCAGGCACCAUGCUGAAUGCCUUCACUGCAUUGAAAUGAGCUUUCUGUCGUGGACAGUGCCCCGAUGCCAGACACUGGCCUUUGUUGAUCUUGGUUUCUGGACCCAGUUCACUUUUGCUCAUUUAUUCCCUGUGUCAGGCACUGUGCUAGGCACUGGGGACUCUGUGGACUAGACAGACCCAGUCCUGUCCUUGUGGAACUUCCACUCGAGCAGAGGCCGGCUGUGGAAGAACGCAUAGUGUGCUGCAAGCUAUGAAGAAGACAAGAUGCCCAGGGACACAGAGAAACAGAUGGGAAUGGAGGCAGAAAGCCACAGCCAGGACCCUUAACUUCAAA